rnacentral:lncRNA from 1 species
GCAGUAUGUAGUGGCCACCCAGUAGAAUGAAAGAAUGAAUCCCUAGGUACAGUUAUCAUAUGAUUUAGAUCUUUUAUCAUGAGUUCUGACUUGACGGAGGUCAUGGAGAACUCAUUAAAUUCCAUCGUCAGUCAUAUGCAAGAUUGACUUGACUCGAGUUCACUUGUGAAUCUCUUGAAAACUCAUUUUUAGUAUUCACACCUGCUUUGGCCAA